rnacentral:tRNA from 1 species
CUCCGCGUAGCUAUAGUAAGUGCUGGGUUCUUACCCCAGCGAAGUGGGGUCACCGCGGGGA